rnacentral:lncRNA from 7 species
UUUUCAUCAUGUUAAGUAAUAACAGAAGUCCAAUCUCUGGGGACCUUUUUUGUAAGGUCAAAAUAGACUUGCUAAAACAAAACUAAAAGACAAAAAUUUGCACAUGGAUAAUUGGAACGAUGACCUAAUUGCCCAUGCUAUUUAAAACAGAAAUCUCUGGCCAACAUCAGCAAUCCACAGAAUGGUGCCAGCUCUGGGAGUGAAGGGACAUGGGCUCCACAGCAGGGCACUUCACCUAAAGGAAAGGUCAGCUAUCUCUGGCAAGCAGGAAAAUACCCAAACAGAUUCAUGGCUCCUGGCAAGGAAAAUGCUCAAGGCUGAAUGUCUGUUCUUACAACAUUUCAGAUGAUAUCCAGUGUGAAUUGAGUGCCGCAAGGGGAUCUGGUGGUAUGUAGGACACAACAGCCUAGAAGAGCAGCGGAGUGAGUCCAGCUCCAGCUGCACCAGUGUCCCUCACUUGAAAGUUUCCUAGGCAUAAAGACUCAGGCACAUGGAGUUUCCAUAGCCCAACCAAGGCACACAGUCCCUCCAAAAACCCAGGAACACAGGUACCUGACCAGUCAUACUCCUGUGCCUCUACCUCUCACCAACGACCCUGUGCCCACCCUCCAGCACUGGGUCCACAAUCAGUUCAGUAAACUAUGGCUGUUAGUGAUCCUUUCCUCCACCUUCUCAGUAAUAGACCAAAAGGCAAAGCAACCAUCCUGAAAGUAGUUGGUAUUGAUUAAGUUCCCACCCGGGUCCAAGGAUCUCCACGGAAUUUUCCCACAUAUUGCCCCUCACCCAGGCACCAGACAACUUCUCACAGCCAGAGGAAGGAGUGAAAAAAAUCUGCAAUGCAAAACCUAGCCGACAGAUUAGAUAUCUGAGUUUCAACUCUUAAUUCCCCAUGAGGCUGAAGUCUACAUGUGUCUGCAUGGAUGCUUCCUGCCCACAGUCUUCAGGAUGUCACACCCACAUCACGCACAGCAGAGAGCUGUGCUCCAGUUCCUCCUAGCCCAGGAUGGCUCCACCAAAAGCCAGCCUUGAGUGGUUCAGCUUUCUCCACCUUUGUCACAUGGGAUAAUGAGUCACAGCACAGACAGAAUUUUAAUGUGCAUCAUAACACCUCUCAUCCAGCAGUAAGAAAUUCUCUGGGGAACACUUGCAGAAAAUAGGACAUUGAGUCCAUAAUUAAAGUAAUCUCUUCCCGGGCAGAUGCUUCAGUUGGCUCUGUUAUCACAUAUUACAAAAGGCAUCUUGAGGCCUAUAAAAUGUGCAGCAAAUGGCUUUGGAGAUGAGAAACAGCAAUUUUUCAUCUAAUUUUGAUCCAUAGACAUAAUGAAAUUUAUUAUUAUUUGAAUUGGUGCAGCUUCUCCAAGCCUUCUCGUAGAUGAUUGCUCUUCCCUAUCACAAGCGAAUGGAACACAAUUAAUGGAACAGCUACAAUAAUGACAUGAUCACGACAUCCACCACUCCGCCAGCAGUAUGUCAUCAUUAUGAAAGUGGGUACCACUCUGUAUUUGAGACUUCUGCUCCCGUGACUGAGCUGCUGAGGAAAAGUUACUGCUGCAGUGCUGUCCCUACCCCAUAAAGCUCACAGUCCUGCAGCUCUAUCCUGAUGACAUCUUAAUAAUGUAGACGUUGAUGUUACAGAAUAAUUAUAUUUUAUUAUUUAUUCUGUGAUAUUGUUAUCUAAUCAUUAGUAACAGAUUAGGGAAGCGUAUGUCCAAUUGUUGAGUACAGUUUAAAGAAAUAAUUAUGAAGGACUGUCAGAACAAAUAUGACAGAGUCCACUCUGUCACGUAGUUUGAGCUCAUGAUCAUUCUGAAUACUGAAACCCAAUUUCAACCAUCAUAUGAGUAGCAGAAUUUGAUUUAAUGUUUUUGAUAUCUUCAAGAAUUAUUUCUUUUUUGUUUUUAGGUGUGAGGAUAACAUCUUAGUAUUGAAAAAGAGAGAAAACAAUUUUUCUUGUCAUAUUGUAUUAUAGUUUCCUGCUUCCUUAGUUUUCUCAUUCCAUAUAUAUAUAUACACAUGAAGUGUUGCUGGAUAUUACUGCACCACAAAAUACUACUUUGUAGAUUUCCCUAUUAGAGUUCACCCAGACAAACAAGGAGAGAAGAGUAAGUCAAGCUUGCGUGAACCAGGAAUAAGGACAGCACAUCCUUAUAUGUCCUCUGCUGUUUGAAGUUAGGCUUUUGUGUAUAAAAGUAAUCUGAAGAC